ensembl:snRNA
AUGUUGUAUGAAAGGAAAGAAAGUUAGCAAUCCCCUUGAGGAUGGAAGAGAUCCUAGUGGUUUUUACAACACAUAUAUAGUUAAGGCAUUAUCACCUGCUCUGUGGCAUCUAACCAUGUUUAA